rnacentral:rRNA from 1 species
UACGUAGGGGGCAAGCGUUGUCCGGAUUUAUUGGGCGUAAAGAGCUCGUAGGCGGCUUGGUAAGUCAGGUGUGAAACCUCCAGGCUCAACCUGGAGACGCCACUUGAUACUGCCAUAGCUAGAGUCCGGUAGGGGAGCGUGGAAUUUCUGGUGUAGCGGUGAAAUGCGCAGAUAUCAGAAGGAACACCAGCGGCGAAGGCGGCGCUCUGGGCCGGAACUGACGCUGAGGAGCGAAAGCGUGGGUAGCAAACAGG